CCUGAUUGGCACUCGUGCCAGUGGAAUGUAUAAAGCACCAUUUGAACAUGAUCUAUGCCAGGCCUGCCUGCAUGGCUCCUGUGCUGGUGGCAUGUAAAAAGCACCCACUACACUCUCGGAGUGGUUGGUGUUAGGAAGGGCAUCCAGCUGUAGAAACAUUGCCAGAUCAGACCGGAGCCUCGUGCAGCUGCUGGCUCUCCAGACCUCAGUCAAACCG